UUGCUCAUAUAUGUGUCAAUGU
rnacentral:miRNA from 1 species